rnacentral:rRNA from 1 species
GACAGAGGAUGCAAGCGUUAUCCGGAAUGAUUGGGCGUAAAGCGUCUGUAGGUGGCUUUUAAGUCCGCCGUCAAAUCCCAGGGCUCAACCCGUGACAGGCGGUGGAAACUACCAAGCUGGAGUACGGUAGGGCAGAGGGAAUUUCCGGUGGAGCGGUGAAAUGCGUAGAGAUCGGAAAGAACACCAACGGCGAAAGCACUCUGCUGGGCCGACACUGACACUGAGAGACGAAAGCUAGGGGAGCGAAUGGG